rnacentral:lncRNA from 1 species
GUACAUGCCCUAACAUUACUCCAAAAUCUGAUCCCCAUCAGCCCUAUCAGAACACUAUUUAAAAGCUCAGCUUACUUCAACUGUGGCAAAACAGUUAUGGCCCAGGUAAACAGAAGAAGGUAGACUCCACCGUAACAAAUUUAGUUAACAGGAAGCAAUCCCAGAUCUAUAGGCACAGAGAAGAAUAAGAGAGAAACUUCACCCUAAUGAAAUUUAGACUUGAGUUUUAGAAGAUUUUCCUGGAAAGACUAAGUAGAGUCAAGAGUUGAGAUAAAGUGAAGGCAUGAAAAGCAGAAUGAUGUGGAAUUUAAAAGAUGAAGAGCUAUAAACGUGUUAAUUUAAUUGGCACGAUCUCUCGAAGACAGAUCCACUGCAACCACGAAGAAGAAUUAUCCUUUCUACACAGGGCCAUUUUUCCACGAUGCUACUACAUUGGCCAUCACAGAGCACAGAUGGCAUCACCAGAAACCAAGAAGAUGGUAAGGCCUGGAGGUGGCAGAGCUGAAGAGGUGAGAGAAGGAAGCCUGAUGAAGAAAUACAAUUCUAAUGGUAAACCUAGGGAAUCAGGAAAUC